AUUAAUCAGGCCAGAGUAACUGACAGAAAUAGAGGCACACACCCUAAUUAUAGGAGCUACAAAGGGGUUUAUAUUAAAGUUUAUUCACGAAAACAGCUUCAGAGGACUGAGAAAUAGACAAUUAUGGGCUACUUUUGGGAUUUUACGCACUUGAAAAAGGAAGAAAGAAAAAAGAAAAGAAAGAAAGACAUUUCCAUUACAAGAAUCCGUGCAGCCAUGCAGAGACACAUGCACACAACACCUCGGGAUGGAGCUGCAGAAAAACAGGCCACAGAUGAGAGUCUCCACCUCCUGCCCCGAGGAUCAAAGGUCAGCAGCGGGGUCAGAGCGAGGCCCUGUCUCUCCGCAGUCCCAGCAGAGACGAGAAGAAGAUGA
rnacentral:lncRNA from 1 species